rnacentral:tRNA from 1 species
GUCCCUGUAGCGCAAUGGAUAGCACGCUGGACUUUAACUCCAAACGUCGUGGGUUCGAAUCCCAACAGGGAUG